GACGAACGCUGGCGGCGUGCUUAACACAUGCAAGUCGAACGGAAAGGCCCUGCUUUUGUGGGGUGCUCGAGUGGCGAACGGGUGAGUAACACGUGAGUAACCUGCCCUUGACUUUGGGAUAACUUCAUGAAACUGGGGCUAAUACCGGAUAGGAGCUCCUGCUGCAUGGUGGGGGUUGGAAAGUUUCGGCGGUUGGGGAUGGACUCGCGGCUUAUCAGCUUGUUGGUGGGGUAGUGGCUUACCAAGGCUUUGACGGGUAGCCGGCCUGGGCGGGUGACCGGCCCAGUUGGGACUGAGAUACGGCCCAGACUCCUACGGGAGGCAGCAGUGGGGAAUAUUGCACAAUGGGCGGAAGCCUGAUGCAGCAACGCCGCGUGCGGGAUGACGGCCUUCGGGUUGUAAACCGCUUUCGCCUGUGACGAAGCGUGAGUGACGGUAAUGGGUAAAGAAGCACCGGCUAACUACGUG
rnacentral:rRNA from 1 species